GUGGGGAAUCUUCCGCAAUGGACGAAAGUCUGACGGAGCAACGCCGCGUGAACGAUGACGGCCUUCGGGUUGUAAAGUUCUGUUAUACGGGACGAAUGGUACGACGGCCAAUACCCGUCGUAAGUGACGGUACCGUAAGAGAAAGCCACGGCUAACUACGUGCCAGCAGCCGCGGUAAUACGUAGGUGGCAAGCGUUGUCCGGAAUUAUUGGGCGUAAAGGGCGCGCAGGCGGCGUCGUAAGUCGGUCUUAAAAGUGCGGGGCUUAAACCCGUGAGGGGACCGAAACUGCGAUGCUAGAGUAUCGGAGAGGAAAGCGGAAUUCCUAGUGUAGCGGUGAAAUGCGUAGAUAUUAGGAGGAACACCAGUGGCGAAAGCGGCUUUCUGGACGACAACUGACGCUGAGGCGCGAAAGCCAGGGGAGCAAACGGGAUUAGAAACCCCAGUAGUCC
rnacentral:rRNA from 1 species